rnacentral:rRNA from 1 species
ACGAACGCUGGCGGCAUGCCUCACCCCUGCCAGUCGAACGAGACCUUCGGGUCUAGUGGCGCACGGGUGCGUAACGCGUGGGAACCUGCCCUUAGGUUCGGAAUAACUCCCCGAAAGGGGUGCUAAUACCGGAUAAUGUCUUCGGACCAAAGAUUUAUCGCCUUUGGAUGGGCCCGCGUUGGAUUAGCUAGUUGGUAGGGUAAAAGCCUACCAAGGCGACGAUCCAUAGCUGGUCUGAGAGGAUGAUCAGCCACACUGGGACUGAGACACGGCCCAGACUCCUACGGGAGGCAGCAGUGGGGAAUAUUGGACAAUGGGCGAAAGCCUGAUCCAGCAAUGCCGCGUGAGUGAUGAAGGCCUUAGGGUUGUAAAGCUCUUUUACCCGGGAUGAUAAUGACAGUACCGGGAGAAUAAGCGCCGGCUAACUCCGUG